AGAACGAACGCUGGCGGCAUGCCUAAUACAUGCAAGUCGAACGAACACUUCGGUGUUAGUGGCGCACGGGUGCGUAACGCGUGGGAAUCUGCCCUUGGGUUCGGAAUAACUUCGGGAAACUGAAGCUAAUACCGGAUGAUGACGUAAGUCCAAAGAUUUAUCGCCCAAGGAUGAGCCCGCGUAGGAUUAGCUAGUUGGUGGGGUAAAGGCCUACCAAGGCGACGAUCCUUAGCUGGUCUGAGAGGAUGAUCAGCCACACUGGGACUGAGACACGGCCCAGACUCCUACGGGAGGCAGCAGUAGGGAAUAUUGGACAAUGGGCGAAAGCCUGAUCCAGCAAUGCCGCGUGAGUGAUGAAGGCCUUAGGUUGUAAAGCUCUUUUACCCGAGAUGAUAAUGACAGUAUCGGAGAAUAAGCUCCGGCUAACUCCGUGCCAGCAGCCGC
rnacentral:rRNA from 1 species